AAUUCAGAAAUGGUCGUCCUUGGAAAACGGUCAUAGUAUUCCUUUCUUUUCACCAUUUGAUUCCCUUCUUUUGGCUUAGUGUAACACCCCAAACCCAAUAACUUGAACCCACCCUAUUUGUUUUGGUUAAAAGAAAAUCUCAUAAAGCCCAUUUAAGCCCAAAAGAAGCAAAUUACGAAAUACUAAGGAUUUUGUUACAUGUGUAUGUAUAUAUGCUUAUAUCGUCAUCUUCGCGCAGCCUUCUCACGUCAUCAUCUCCAGCAACUCGUUAUUAACCUAAGAACAUCAAAUCAACUUGAUCCCAAGCCAUCAUCACCAUUGACGUUGAGAUCUGAGUUGUUGGAGCGUGUGGUUUUGUUUUAGAUCACGUACAAGUGUGAAGUGAAAGCGAACGUCACGGAUCAUCACCGUUAAACAACGGCUUGAUUGGGCAGUUCAAGUGGUGGAAUUGGUGAUCCGUUUCCCGUCACGUCCGAAGGAGUUUGGACGAGUUCUUAACGGUUCUGAA